rnacentral:rRNA from 1 species
CGUACCUUUUGUAUAAUGGGUCAGCGACUUAUAUUCUGUAGCAAGGUUAACCGUAUAGGGGAGCCGGAGGGAAACCGAGUCUUAAUUGGGCGUUAAGUUGCAGGGUAUAGACCCGAAACCCGGUGAUCUAGCCAUGGGCAGGUUGAAGGUUGGGUAACACUAACUGGAGGACCGAACCGACUAAUGUUGAAAAAUUAGCGGAUGACCUGUGGCUGGGGGUGAAAGGCCAAUCAAACCGGGAGAUAGCUGGUUCUCCCCGAAAGCUAUUUAGGUAGCGCCUCGUGAAUUCAUCUCCGGGGGUAGAGCACUGUUUCGGCUAGGGGGCCAUCCCGGCUUACCAACCCGAUGCAAACUGCGAAUACCGGAGAAUGUUAUCACGGGAGACACACGGCGGGUGCUAACGUCCGUCGUGAAGAGGGAAACAACCCAGACCGCCAGCUAAGGUCCCAAAGUCAUGGUUAAGUGGGAAACGAUGUGGGAAGGCCCAGACAGCCAGGAUGUUGGCUUAGAAGCAGCCAUCAUUUAAAGAAAGCGUAAUAGCUCACUGGUCGAGUCGGCCUGCGCGGAAGAUGUAACGGGGCUAAACCAUGCACCGAAGCUGCGGCAGCGAACGUAUCACCCAAGACAACUUUACGGAGUUGACGAUUGACGGAGCGAAGCGACGUCAAAGCGUUCAUUAAAGUCGAGUUGGCUUAGGGAUACGUUCGUUGGGUAGGGGAGCGUUCUGUAAGCCUGUGAAGGUGUGUCGUGAGGCAUGCUGGAGGUAUCAGAAGUGCGAAUGCUGACAUAAGUAACGAUAAAGCGGGUGAAAAGCCCGCUCGCCGGAAGACCAAGGGUUCCUGUCCAACGUUAAUCGGGGCAGGGUGAGUCGACCCCUAAGGCGAGGCCGAAAGGCGUAGUCGAUGGGAAACGGGUUAAUAUUCCCGUACUUGGUGUUACUGCGAAGGGGGGACGGAGAAGGCUAUGUUGGCCGGGCGACGGUUGUCCCGGUUUAAGCGUGUAGGUGUGUGUUCCAGGUAAAUCCGGUUCACUUUAACACUGAGGCGUGACGACGAGGCACUACGGUGCUGAAGCAACAAAUGCCCUGCUUCCAGGAAAAGCCUCUAAGCAUCAGGUAACAUCAAAUCGUACCCCAAACCGACACAGGUGGUCAGGUAGAGAAUACCAAGGCGCUUGAGAGAACUCGGGUGAAGGAACUAGGCAAAAUGGUGCCGUAACUUCGGGAGAAGGCACGCUGACACGUAGGUGAAGUGAUUUACUCAUGGAGCUGAAGUCAGUCGAAGAUACCAGCUGGCUGCAACUGUUUAUUAAAAACACAGCACUGUGCAAACACGAAAGUGGACGUAUACGGUGUGACGCCUGCCCGGUGCCGGAAGGUUAAUUGAUGGGGUCAGCGCAAGCGAAGCUCCUGAUCGAAGCCCCGGUAAACGGCGGCCGUAACUAUAACGGUCCUAAGGUAGCGAAAUUCCUUGUCGGGUAAGUUCCGACCUGCACGAAUGGCGUAAUGAUGGCCAGGCUGUCUCCACCCGAGACUCAGUGAAAUUGAACUCGCUGUGAAGAUGCAGUGUACCCGCGGCAAGACGGAAAGACCCCGUGAACCUUUACUAUAGCUUGACACUGAACAUUGAGCCUUGAUGUGUAGGAUAGGUGGGAGGCUUUGAAGUGUGGACGCCAGUCUGCAUGGAGCCGACCUUGAAAUACCACCCUUUAAUGUUUGAUGUUCUAACGUGGACCCGUAAUCCGGGUUGCGGACAGUGUCUGGUGGGUAGUUUGACUGGGGCGGUCUCCUCCUAAAGAGUAACGGAGGAGCACGAAGGUUGGCUAAUCCUGGUCGGACAUCAGGAGGUUAGUGCAAUGGCAUAAGCCAGCUUGACUGCGAGCGUGACGGCGCGAGCAGGUGCGAAAGCAGGUCAUAGUGAUCCGGUGGUUCUGAAUGGAAGGGCCAUCGCUCAACGGAUAAAAGGUACUCCGGGGAUAACAGGCUGAUACCGCCCAAGAGUUCAUAUCGACGGCGGUGUUUGGCACCUCGAUGUCGGCUCAUCACAUCCUGGGGCUGAAGUAGGUCCCAAGGGUAUGGCUGUUCGCCAUUUAAAGUGGUACGCGAGCUGGGUUUAGAACGUCGUGAGACAGUUCGGUCCCUAUCUGCCGUGGGCGCUGGAGAACUGAGGGGGGCUGCUCCUAGUACGAGAGGACCGGAGUGGACGCAUCACUGGUGUUCGGGUUGUCAUGCCAAUGGCACUGCCCGGUAGCUAAAUGCGGAAGAGAUAAGUGCUGAAAGCAUCUAAGCACGAAACUUGCCCCGAGAUGAGUUCUCCCUGAGACUUAGAGUCUCCUGAAGGAACGUUGAAGACGACGACGUUGAUAGGCCGGGUGUGUAAGCGCAGCGAUGCGUUGAGCUAACCGGUACUAAUGAACCGUGAGGCUUAACCUUACA